rnacentral:rRNA from 1 species
UACGAAGGGGGCUAGCGUUGCUCGGAAUCACUGGGCGUAAAGGGUGCGUAGGCGGGUCUUUAAGUCAGAGGUGAAAUCCUGGAGCUCAACUCCAGAACUGCCUUUGAUACUGAGAAUCUUGAGUUCGGGAGAGGUGAGUGGAACUGCGAGUGUAGAGGUGAAAUUCGUAGAUAUUCGCAAGAACACCGGUGGCGAAGGCGGAUCUCUGGGCCGAUACUGACGCUGAGGAGCGAAAGCGUGGGGAGCGAACAGG